rnacentral:snoRNA from 1 species
CUCAGUGCUCAAUGAGCCAUUUGCUAGUGAUCCAUUGAGCUGUCAAGAGGGAAAAGAGUAAAAACACAGCUUUUGGAUGAAGUAGCAACUUACUUUGUUUUACUUCAAUCAAUGUUGUGACAAGA